CAAGUUCACCUUAUCAUCUGAGCAAGGAAAUAAUUGCUUUAGCAUUGCAGGAGAGAUUGCGCUAGUGAGAAAUGUACUAAAGUCAGGUGAUGGAAUAUAUGUAAUUUAUCAGCGAUUUGAAAACAUGGCGCCCUUCUUCUCAUACCCUUGUUUGUCAUCUUACAUUGGAUGUUACAGGGUUUGUGACUUGAAGGAUGGCUUUGGACUCUGUGAACUUUCCAAGAUCAGUCAGAAAUAUAUUCUUUAUCCAGACAACAAGAGCUUCAUUGCUUGUCCUCUAUUACACUUACAUUAAACAAAUUUAUUUGAAUAUAGAGUUCAUUGUUUAGGCAAAAUUAUAUUGCAAUAUGUUUGGUUGUUUUUUCCUACUAAUUCUUUACAUUGUAACUAACAGUCCAGUUGUACAAAUAAAUUUAGUUGGGAUAUUUUGUUGCUUUAACCAAUUUCUUUGUGUAACAGUUUACAUCAGCUGUGAAAUGGUACAGUGGUCUGUGGUGCAGUUUGAGGCUGGAGGGACUGCAGUUGUGCCACAUAGUUGGUAUAACAUUGAGGAAAAAAAAUGCCAUUGGCCACCAUUUAAACAUCACAAACUUCACAAAGCUAUUCAAGACCACCAGAAUCCAGAGCCAUACUGGGAAAUCUAUGAAUCUGUCAGGCUUCUCAUCACUAAAGACACCUAUGAACAAGCCAGACAUUGUGAGCACAAGUACAGUGAUCAAAGCUGCAUGACAUCUGACAUUGAUUCAGAAGGAGAAGACAAACAAAAACGAAAACUGAGGCCCAAUCGUUUGUUGAUUAAUUCUGACUUUGAGGGGGAGGAUACGGUAGUCAAGAAAGCAAGAUUUGCACAGCCUCCAACAAUUGUGCAACCAGGUGUGUUUGAAUUGAGUGUUCAAUUAUUGUGUGGAAAAUAUAAAAUACAUGUAAAUAAACAUGAACUUUCCAGCAGGUCAACAGAAAAAACAGGGUCCAGCUUUGGCAUCUCAGGCAAGAAAAGGUAUGAAAAUACAACAUAUUAAAUGCAACCACUGGUGAAAUAACAUGCACAGGUGAAAAAAGCUCACAGUGUAAUUUUCUUCACAUAGUAACCAGUACAGUUAUUGCAUUGUAAGAUCACCUUUAGCAUUUGGCACAUUUUAUGUUGUAGCUUUAGUAGUUGAGAAUUCUAGAAGUGAUUCUGCAUGUGAUGGAGGA